UGUGUGCCUUCUGAGCUUUUCAGUUUUCC
rnacentral:piRNA from 1 species